GGCCCCCUCUAAAAACUGGUCCAUUCUGCCUUCACUGUCCCUGCGUCUGAGACUGACCGAGUCGGACUCUGUACACCAAAAAUGAUCAAAGGGAAUAAUGUGAUUAUUAACCAUCAGAUGACAAAGUAAAACCUCUUAAGGGGCACUCCUCCUCUUUUAGUGAUUC